rnacentral:rRNA from 1 species
UACGUAGGGGGCUAGCGUUGUCCGGGUUUAUUGGGCGUAAAGAGCGUGUAGGCGGCCAGGUAGGUCUGCUGUGAAAACUCGAGGCUCAACCUCGAGACGUCGGCGGAAACCAUCUGGCUAGAGUCCGGAAGAGGAGAGUGGAAUUCCUGGUGUAGCGGUGAAAUGCGCAGAUAUCAGGAAGAACACCCGUGGCGAAAGCGGCUCUCUGGAACGGUACUGACGCUGAGACGCGAAAGCGUGGGGAGCGAACAGG